rfam:Dipodomys ordii contig_58318, whole genome shotgun sequence.
GGUGGCUCAGUGGUAGAGUGUUUGCCUCGCAAGCAUGAGGCCCUGGGUUCGAUUCCUCAGUACCA